rnacentral:lncRNA from 1 species
ACCUGAGAAUAACCAAAAGAAACUUUAUGCCGUUAACUGGGAAUUUAGUGAAAGGCUGGAUAAUGAAAAGGAACAAAAUCUGAAAAAAUUCCCCUUAAACUCCAAGAUUAACCGAUAGCACAAUAUUUUAAAGAAAUCAGUAUCUAUAGUUCAAGAUCGAGAUAUCAUUCAGUGAUUACUCUAACAACAACAAAAUUUGAAACAAAAUAAAUGGUUGAUCAACAUUUCAAUAUUUCUUAACAUUAAAAGACAAUACUGGGGCUAGGGGUGGGGGGACACAUGCACCAAAGCAAAUUGCACCAGAAGUCCAUUAAUGACACUUAUCAACCAUGGAAAAUUGAAAAUAACAGAGAAUGGAUUAAAUAAAGCCACCGAUAAUUGAAAACAGCACAAAACUCAGUAUUGACAUGAAAUUUUUUCAUUCUAAACAAAACCCAAUAACAAUAAACAGAAUCAUAACCCAAUAUUUUAAAGAAAUCAGUAUCCAUAGUUCAAGAUCGAGAUAUCAUUCAGUGAUUACUCUAACAACAGAAAAAUUCGAAACAAAAUAAAUGGUUGAUCAACAUUUCAUAUGUGAACAUUAUAAGACAAUACUGGGGCUAGGGGUGGGGGGACACAUGCACCAAAGCAAAUUGCACCAGAAGUCCAUCAAUGACACUUAUCAACCAUGAAAAAUUGAAAAUAACAGAGAAUGGAUUAAAUAAAGCCACUGAUAAUUGAAAACAACACAAAACUCAGUAUUGACAUGAAAUUUUUUCAUUUUAAACAAAACCCAAUAACAACAAACAGAAUCAUAACCCAUUUAACCACAGAAAUCAUCAAUCCCUUUAUGCAUCACUUUCUAAUUUCCGAAAACAAUUUAUCAGAACUUGUAAUUUUCUUG